UGUGGCAGACUAGUGCAAUAAAUUUAAGAUUUAUCCAUAAAGAUAACUUUCUUUAGAAA
rnacentral:tRNA from 1 species